AAUCAAAGUAGUUAUUACAUAAAUAUAAGAUGUAUGCAAUAUAUCAUGUUGUGUUCACAUAUUUUGAUAUGUAUUUGUAGCUGCAUUCUAAUGUGUUAUACACCAUUAAACAUGAGAAUUCAAAUCCAUUGAUGUAUAUUCGGAGAAAGAGAAUAAAAUCUCUCUGUACAUAUGUAUAUAUGUUUGUGCACGCGAUCCAGCAUGUGAAUCUUGUCUACAUGUCAUUCCAAACUUCUGAAUACAGACAAAAAAGAGAGCAAAAUAAUAAUCAUUUUUAGAAAAUUGUAAUAUAAAAGUAUCGAAUUUUCAGAUUUGUCUUCAGAAUUGAAGAUUAUUUUAAAAUGGCGCGAUAUAUUUCGCGGAAUUAUAUCUAAUAAUAACUAAGUGCAUAUCACGCGAUUUCAAGCUCUCAUAGAUAUCGCCCUUCGAAGUGAGAGAAAAUGCGACGCUUUAAACGAUGACGUCGCAUCCUGAUUAACUCUCGGCGAAUACACUCGCUCGUAUCCGUCGUAUUUGUAUCCCCGUUGGUUUCUACGUACCGAGUUACUCGUAAUAUGAUAUAUACUUUCAUCACAUUUAUUUAUAAUCGUGCGAUAUUAAUAUUGUGAAGAAUAUAUCAAAUAUAAGAAAAAAAAUUAAAAAGAAAAGGAAAUUACUAAAAUUAUUUAAAUUGUAUUUUUAUGUAUGUGUAUUAAUAAAUAAUCUUUCCUCAUUUCAUGACAACGAGACGACAAGAGAUUCCACGGCUAUUGAUAAAGAGAGAAUUAAGUAUUUUCUCGAUAAAGAGAGAAUUUAGACUAGCUGCGGGUCGCGUGUCAGAAAGAGUCAUCUCUCAGCCAGCAUAAAUGGCCUGGAAGCAUAUGGUUUCGCCAUACGGGAUCCUGGAGGACUCGCGAGAGUAAUUUACCAACGAAAUAUUUUCAUCGACGUGUGGGUGCUACCUUUUCAAAAGUUUGAAUGCUGAAAGCGGCAAAUGGUGACAUCUAGUGACGAUUUAACAAUACAUCUUCGAUGACGGUUGGAUCUUUGAAUCAGCUGAUUGCUCGAGGCGGGCUGAUAUUUGUGCGAGAUUUUAAACUUCCUUGUUCACUCGGAACGACUCGAGGAAACAACUAAAAAUAAAACCGAUCAUAAUAAUCGAGUAAUAACUGACAGACUCUUAAAAGCUUCGUUAAGUUCAACCUUGGACGAAAUCCGCGGAUUCUUCGCGGAUGAGCCUGACGGCGGGAAUGAGCAUAUGUCAGAGGAAAGUUCUCCGCUUGGUAGUAAGCCAAGAUCGAACCUUUUCCGGCCAUUGGCUCCUGUCCUGAAGAGAGUUGAGAAUUCGUCUCAUCAUCCGCGUUUAUGAUAUAAU